GCCUGGCUUGGUUUUAGCUAACACCAUAUUUGUUCUGUAUGAUGAAUGAAAGAGAUAAGAAUGGAAAUCAAAAUAUAAUAGUAAGAGAAUAUAGGGAAUCAAAAUCAUUAUCACCUUCCUUAUUUCAUGGUUUGAAGUACUCAAAACAAAUAAAUGCACAUGAUGGGAGUGCCAAUACAAUUUUACUACUUAAUUCACAUUAUAGUUUAGAAAGUAGUCAAAUUUAUAUUAACUUUUGAGUAUACUUUUGAGGAAAACCAAAUUAUAAAAUAACAACCACUAUUUUUUUGUGUUGUGAAG
rnacentral:lncRNA from 1 species